UACGGAGGGUGCAAACGUUGCUCGGAAUCAUUGGGCGUAAAGCGCACGUAGGCGGCUCGUUAAGUCGGAUGUGAAAGCCCUGGGCUCAACCCAGGAAGUGCAUUCGAAACUGGCGAGCUUGAAUAUGGAAGAGGGUCGCGGAAUUCCCGGUGUAGAGGUGAAAUUCGUAGAUAUCGGGAGGAACACCAGUGGCGAAGGCGGCUAUCUGGACCGACAUUGACGCUGAGGCGCGAAAGCGUGGGGAGCAAACAGG
rnacentral:rRNA from 1 species